rnacentral:rRNA from 1 species
GACGAACGCUGGCGGCGUGCCUAAUACAUGCAAGUCGAGCGGAUCUUCAUUAGCUUGCUUUUGAAGAUCAGCGGCGGACGGGUGAGUAACACGUGGGCAACCUGCCUGUAAGACUGGGAUAACUUCGGGAAACCGGAGCUAAUACCGGAUAAUCCUUUCCCUCACAUGAGGGAAAGCUGAAAGACGGUUUCGGCUGUCACUUACAGAUGGGCCCGCGGCGCAUUAGCUAGUUGGUGAGGUAACGGCUCACCAAGGCAACGAUGCGUAGCCGACCUGAGAGGGUGAUCGGCCACACUGGGACUGAGACACGGCCCAGACUCCUACGGGAGGCAGCAGUAGGGAAUCUUCCGCAAUGGACGAAAGUCUGACGGAGCAACGCCGCGUGAACGAUGAAGGCCUUCGGGUCGUAAAGUUCUGUUGUCAGGGAAGAACAAGUAUCGGAGUAACUGCCGGUACCUUGACGGUACCUGACCAGAAAGCCACGGCUAACUACGUGCCAGCCGCCGCCGUAACAC